GCUGGGCGUGGUGGCUCACGCCUGUAAUUCCAGCACUUUGGGAGGCUGAGACGGGUGGAUCACCUGAGGUCAGGAGUUCGAGACCAGCCUGACCAACAUGGAGAAACCCUGUCUCUA
rnacentral:sRNA from 1 species